rnacentral:rRNA from 1 species
UAGGGAAUAUUGCACAAUGGAGGAGACUCUGAUGAAGGCCUUAGGGUCGUAAAGCUCUUUCGCUGGGGAUGAUAAUGACAGUACCCAGUAAAGAAACCCCGGCUAACUCCGUGCCAGCAGCCGCGGUAAUACGGAGGGGGUUAGCGUUGUUCGGAAUUACUGGGCGUAAAGCGCGCGUAGGCGGAUUGGAAAGUUGGGGGUGAAAUCCCGGGGCUCAACCUCGGAACUGCCUCCAAAACUAUCAGUCUAGAGUUCGAGAGAGGUGAGUGGAAUUCCGAGUGUAGAGGUGAAAUUCGUAGAUAUUCGGAGGAACACCAGUGGCGAAGGCGGCUCACUGGCUCGAUACUGACGCUGAGGUGCGAAAGUGUGGGGAGCAAACAGG